CUUUGGCUCAUGUCCUUCCCUGGGUUAUUGAACUGAUGCUGCAGAUGGUGUGGGGUGGCACAUAGACAGAAAAGCUGUUCUGAUGGGAAUGUUGCUUGUUUGGUCCCGCAGCUGAACCACCUGGUGACGGAGCAGCUGGUAAAGUGCGGCGUCCCAGCGGUGGGCAUUUCGCCCUUUGGCACCUGGAGGACAGCAGGCAAGAAAGUCAGCCAGGCUGGCAUUUCUGCCAUAAGGGACGCCUUGGAUGCUGGCUACAUCCCGGUCGUGCAUGGGGACUGUGCUCUGGACUCUGAACAGCACUGCUGUAUCUUAUCAGGGGAUGCUAUCAUUGAGGUAAGACGUCUGGCCUUCCCCAGGUGCGGGAGUGGAAGUGGUGGAAUCUCUCACUGUCAUCCACGGAUAGUUACUGUUGGGCUUUGUCUUUGGAGGGUGCCCUCUCUACCAGUAGGGCUGAAUGCUGGUGAUACCACCCCUUUCUCCUCUGCUCAUAGACAUGCCUCUGACUGGUGCGGAGAAUCUCUGAAAGAGCCGAUCCCCUGAGAGUCCAUAUAGGAAUCUCCUGGGAAUGUCAUCUUAUUCAUGCACUCUGACUGUGGAUUCCAUACAGGUGACUGGAUCCCCAACUUGAUGUUUAAUGGCUUCCCCGCCUGUGUAUUGGGUACAGGCCCAACCAGCACAAAAGCUCCAAUAUGGGCUUAUUCGGAAAUUUACAGUUGGGACUAGGACUAAAGGCACUUGUGACCUAACCCAGUUGUGACCACAGUUGGGUCCAUUCUGUCCACCCACAUGUUCAGGGGCAGGAUUUAGUCUUGAUCCCUUACUGUGCAAUAGGGUCAUAGGAAGGAGGCCAGAAGCUGGGGAGAGGAUUCUGAGUUAUGUGGCUGUAUAUAUACAUGGAAGAAGAAGCAAUGGGAAGAACACCCAGAAGAGACUGGCCUUGGAACUGUUACUGAGAUUCCAGGGAACCUGUUGCUUUAGAUCCUCUGUUGCACAGUUUUCAUUUUGCAGGUUCUGUCCAGGGAAUUCUCCCCCCAGCGAGUGGUUUUCUUGACUGAUGUCAGUGGAAUCUAUGACCGUCCACCUGAUACCCCAGGUAUGGUGUAAGGCUCAAGAAGAAAAAAUGGAGUCUAUUCCUGUCCUUCCCCCAAUAUCUGUUCAUGUUCUGUGCUUUUUUAUUGGGUUCAGUAGGUUAAUAUGCUAGCUAUUCACGUCUGUAUUUUAUCCUGGUGUGGCUCACAAACCACAUGAGUUUUGUAGUCUCAGCGCAAUCUCUACAGGAUAAUUUAGAGCUUAUCACACGAAUAUGGCAGGGUUGCUAGUGUCUACCCAAAUGAAUGCAAUGACUGGGAUGGUGCGGGGGCUGCAGAUCGGAUUUGAGGGAUAUCAGGAGAGCUGUUUAGAGGCCCAGAACUGGAAUGUCGGAGCGCUGCAGGUCUAGAUUGAGGGGCAGCAGCAAAGUGGUGUGAGAGCCAAGGACAGAAGUAGCAGCAGACCUGAAGCACAUGGGUCUCACAAAAAAAGCCUCAACUGUAACUGCCUC
rnacentral:lncRNA from 1 species